rnacentral:rRNA from 1 species
UAUUGGUCAAUGGGCGCAAGCCUGAACCAGCCAAGUCGCGUGAGGGAAGACGGUCCUCUGGAUUGUAAACCUCUUUUGUCGGGGAGCAAAGCGCGGUACGAGUACCGUGAAGGAGAGUACCCGAAGAAAAAGCAUCGGCUAACUCCGUGCCAGCCGCCGCGGUAAUACGGAGGAUGCGAGCGUUAUCCGGAUUUAUUGGGUUGAAAGGGUGCGUAGGCGGAUUUGUAAGUCAGCGGUAAAAAUGCGGUGCUCAACGCCGUAUCGCCGUUGAAACUGCGGGUCUUGAGUGAGCGAGAAGUAUGCGGAAUGCGUGGUGUAGCGGUGAAAUGCAUAGAUGUCACGCAGAACUCCGAUUGCGAAGGCAGCAUACCGGCGCCCGACUGACGCUGAGGCACGAAAGCGUGGGUAUCGAACAGG